GGACCUCAGGGAGGAGAUGGCGUCGGGGAGGCUGCAGUGGGCAAUGCUGAGGUAGCUCAGGACGGGAUGGCAGUCAGGUGUGGUUUCAAAGGGAAAUGCUGAGGUACCUUGAGGAAUGGACCCUGGGCUGGGAACUAUGAACACAUCAGAUUGGUUCAGAGAGUGUUCAUGACAGAAAUUUGUGCAGUGAAGGAUUCCAGCAAAGAGAGGGAGAAGAGCCAAACUUAGAUCAGGCCUCCUAGGACGCCUGCAGGUUUGGGGACAGGGAUGACGAGGUUGUUAAUCCGGUCCUAACUGUUUCUUUCUCUGUCCCUCUCUUGCAGCACCUGACUGAAUGGAGGAGCAAGUGGACGGGAAGUUCCUGCGCCACACACAGAUCACAUUUAUUACUCUCGCCCUCAGAGACCCGGAGAUCCAAACCGUUCGCAUGGUGCCUUGAAGCAGCCUGUGCUCAUGCGCUUCUCCCAGGGAGAAGGCGGAAUGGCAGUGACUGGCCACGUUAAGCCACAGGGUGCACACUCUGCAGCUGUCAAGCCCAGCUCUGCGUCAGCUCACACCUGCGAUUUUGCGCCGCACACGCGGAUUUGAGUUGUCGCUGGUUGUUGCAGCAUUUGGCUUUGGGCGAAGGAAGAUGACAGAGUGGAAGAGAACUACAGAUGCGUAUGACGGGGUGGAAGAAGAUCCACCUAACACCAGCAAGGGAUGGAAGAGCAUCCAGAUGCCUUGGAAACAACACCAACAAUGACAGGGUGGCAAAGGAUCCAGCUAACACCAGCAAGCCAUUCAGAAGGAAGGCAGCCACAGGAAUGGAAACACUAACGAACUAUGACUGAUGCUGGGACUCAAUAAUUACCUUGGGCAAUUGUUGAUUGUUGUAAUUACUUCAAUUCUAUUGUUGAUUGUUAUUAAUAACUGUGUUGCAGGGGUAAGUCAACACAUGUUAUAUGGUGAUCCACAGUGGACAUUAAGGCUCACCGGCAGAAGCGUCCCCUUUUUACUUUGGAGGCAAGAGGUAACUGCUAUAACACUCCAGAGUUAUGUCAGACCAUGACUGUAGUCACAGGGUGGGAUUGUGGCAGAAUGCAAACCCCCCUCCCUCCUUCAGUAUGGCACAUCUCCCCCUUUCUCUGCUACUUGAGCUACAGCUUCUUUUGUUUGGCCCAGAGCAUCCUGGCUCCUGGGACAUUGGGAGAGGGGAGUGCCGAGCCGCUGGGCGCCAGCGGCCAGAGUAAGGCUUCAGGGGCACCCACAGCCAGUGUGGGGGGUGCAGAGAAGCUUCUAGAGUGCCUACAGUCAGAUCUGAUCAGAUAAAAACGGGACUCUCGUUGAGACUCCGCCCCAUUUUUGUGUGGGGGUCUCUUGGAGUACGAGCUUAGCCACUGCCGCCAGGAGAGCCCCCCCCCACCCCGGAUGGAGACUCCGCUUGCCUUACCGCCACAGAUGUAAGUAAAACUUCUCGCAGGAUUGUGAGUAUACUUAUACUUUCCGUGCACAUAUGCACGUAUAACUUUCCGUGCUCCAUUUGAGCGCGUAUAAAUUUACCCUCACCGAAUCGCGGGUGUAUUUUCCUCCCGUGCACAUAUGCACGAGUAACUUUCCGUGCACAUUUGCACGCGUACUUUAUCUCUUUAAAAUAAUCCCGCACCGUGUUAGGCAAGUGUGUUCUUCUCCGGGACUCGGGGCCAGCUCUGGCAUUUUUUUUGAGUGAAGCCACGUGUAUGCACGCUGUGGACCACCUGUUGGUUGUAUCAGUUGCUGCCCCUCAAAUAAUUUUCCUCAGCUGAUAUCCGAACCUUUAUUUAAGUCACUUUGGAGUGCUAAAACCCUGUUCCUCGCCGGUCUAAUAAAAGUUGUUUUGGA